CAAAUAAAUACGCUCUAUGGUGGCUUCGUAGAGAAGCUGAAAAGGGAAGUUUGGUGAAAAUCCAACGCGGUCCCGCCACUGUAUAGAGGAGGCUCAAAACAAACCACUGUCUUUAAGAUGGGAAGGGUUAUGAGCUGAUGAAUCUGAGCCAGGAGACCUGCCAUAGAGAAGAACAUGAA
rnacentral:ncRNA from 1 species